UACGGAGGGUGCGAGCGUUAUUCGGAAUUACUGGGCGUAAAGCGCGUGUAGGCGGUUUUGCAAGUCUGAUGUGUAAGCCCCGGGCUUAACCUGGGAAGUGCAUUGGAAACUGCAGGACUUGAGUACCGGAGAGGAAGGGGGAAUUCCCGGUGUAGAGGUGAAAUUCGUAGAGAUCGGGAGGAAUACCAGUGGCGUAGGCGUCCUUCUGGACGGUUAUUGACGAUGAGACGCGAAAGCGUGGGGAGCAAACAGG
rnacentral:rRNA from 1 species